rnacentral:rRNA from 1 species
AUGCAUUUUUUUUUGUUCUUCAUAUUUUUGGCAGGGAGGUUAGCUUGGGUCCCCAAUUCUCCAGUGGUUCUGAACUCCAGCGACCACAACGUGGGUGUGGUACGUGCCGCUCGCACCAGCUUAUCAUCUAUGCAUGCGAGGUUCAUGCACCAGCAGCUCCCCUUGGCCAUCGGUAGUGUGGCAUGUAGUUCAUCCAUCGACGGUUGUGGUAAGAUAUGUAUGACCUUUCUGCAACAUGCAUCAUUUUAUCGCUGCAGUGAUCUUCUCUCUCACAGUAGUUCCCUUUGUUGCCAAAUGUAA